AUUCAUUACUGCCGGUAUUGCAAGUUACAGCUCUUAAAGAACGAUAAGCAAGCAACAAAAGGACACAGCAUGGAUCACUUGGCUAAAGAUAGCUGAAUGAAGAUAAAUUAAAAAAAAUCAAGGAUUAUGACAAAACAGAACAGCCAUUUCCAUCUUCAUUUUUAGUAAUACAAAGUGAUGACAACUCUUGCUCUUAAAAGGAUCUAUAAUUUCAAGGAUCAUGUGGAAAACUAAGAGGCCAAAGCAGCCAUAGAACAGCAUGAAGUUCAAGGAUUGCCCUGCUUAAAGAACAAAGAAGUAUUGGCCCUAACACCUGGAGACUCUGCAUGGAUCAAAGGGGAGUUGCUGCUGUU
rnacentral:lncRNA from 1 species